UGCUACCUACAUUAAACCAUUCAAGACCGACACAGUCCUAAUUGCCCCAGGCCAGACUACCAAUGUACUUGUCACCGCAGACAAAAACACCGGCAAGUACUUAGUUGCAGCCUCCCCUUUCAUGGACGCUCCGAUUGCAGUUGACAAUAGGACCGCAACAGCCACUCUUCAUUACUCCAGCACGCUUUCUAGCUCCCCCACAACUCUCACCAACCCACCUCCCAAGAAUGCCACCGCAGUCGCCAACAAAUUUGUUAAUUCUCUACGCAGCCUGAAUUCGAAAAAAUAUCCUGCCCAAGUCCCAUUGAAGAUUGAUCACAACCUUUUCUUUACCGUUGGGCUAGGCGUCAACCCAUGUCCUACUUGCAAGGCAGGCAAUGGUAGUAGGGCAGUUGCUAGCAUCAACAAUGUCACAUUUGUUAUGCCAACUACUGCUCUGCUUCAAGCUCAUUUCUUUAACAUUAGUGGCGUUUUCACCACCGAUUUCCCUGCUAAUCCACCAAAUGUUUUCAACUACACUGGAAGCGGAC
rnacentral:misc_RNA from 1 species